rnacentral:RNase_P_RNA from 1 species
CGAGUCGGCAGGGCGGCCGCGGCGGUGUGAAAGCAUCGGCGAGGAAAGUCCGGACUCCGCAGGGCAGGGUGGUUGUUAACGGCAACCCGGGGUGACCCGCGGGACAGUGCCACAGAAAACAGACCGCCUGGUGAGAGCCAGGUAAGGGUGAAACGGUGGUGUAAGAGACCACCAGCAUCUCGGGUGACCGAGGUGGCUAGGUAAACCCCACCCGGAGCAAGGCCAAGAGGGAGCCUCCGGGCUCCUGCGCAGACGUUCGAGGGCUGCCCGCCCGAGUCUGCGGGUAGGCCGCACGAGCCUGCCGGCGACGGCAGGCCUAGAUGGAUGGUCGCCCACCGGAACUUCGGUUCCGGGGACAGGAUCCGGCUUACAUGUCGGCUCGCCCG